CGCCCCAACGAUGGACGAGAGGUCGCUAAAGUCAAUUCACAAGAGUGGGGAGGAAAAUCAACUUAACAGAUCUAGAAAAAAUAAUUUAUUGCACAUCGAGUAUGAUCAAAUUUAAGAAAAGGAUUAUAUAUAACUAUAAUAAUGAAAUUGUUAUUGCUUAAAUCAUUACUGCGACUAAUAAAGUACAUAUAAAAUGAUAAUUUCCAAAUUAACCUCUUUCGGGAUGGUUCAGUUUGAUACAUACACAUGAUAGAUGCUUAUGCAUCAUUUACCUUGUAAUUUUCAUAUUAAUGACUACGUUUAAAUCCUAAUAUCAAUUUGUAAUAUUUUUAUAUUUUGCUCGUGUUUUACAAGUCUCAUCUCGCCGAGAUACAGUUAAUGUACAAUAUACAGUUAGAUGAUAUUUCCAAAGUCGCUUAAUUAAAAUUUAUAAAUCGUUAGAUUGACAAAUAUAAGAAGAAAAAAGAUACAGAAUAGUUUCAGCUUCGAAUAUCAUCAUAUAUAUACGCAUGGAAGGAAAAACCGGAAUGGAUAAUGUGGAUAAAAGAAGAGGAGGAGAGAAAGUAUGUAUUCUAAUAUAUAAAUAUAUGUAUAUAAAUAAAUGUAGCAUCGUUUAAGAAAGGUAAUUCACAUACAACUGUUUAUUGAGACAUGUAGAAUACAUCUGGUCAUACACAAAAAUCUUUGACACUUUAAAUCAAGCUCCUAGCCCGAAAAAGGAACCAUUUCAACAUUAUUUUAAAUUCAUCAAUAAUUAUUACAUUUAACUACGUCACACUAAAAUUAGAGACAACUUUUAAAAUUGCAGGAAUUAAAAAAAAAGCAAAGCAAUUGGAAGAUGAUGAAUAAUAAAAAGAAAUCUGAAAACGCAAUUAUCAACGAUAAAGGAAUUUGGUCAUUUGAAAUUUAUCGUUCACUUUUAGCCAUGGAGCUGACAUGUGGCAUGUGUGGCGCGAGAAACAUAAACCGUUCAUAUAUAUGUUCAUGUGAAUAGUGUUACGUACAUUUUUUCAUUUUUUUUUUUUUUAACAUUUUUCUUUCAUUUUCUUUCCGUACAAUUGUUCACUUUUGUUGUUUUCCUCAUUAGUGCUAAAUAACAUCACGUCACAAAAUGCAUAUCCGCAGGAAUAUAAUAUAUAAUAUAUUUAUAUAUAAUUAAAAAACACGUCUUUUUGGGCCGUUAUUAACAUAAAUUGAGCGACCCAAAAAUCACACAACAUCCGCUUGACACGGGCCAACCAAGAAAAGUCAAGUUCCCAAGGAUGUGUGCCGCAAAUUAGGGCAAUGACCGGGUAAAAGGGUGCGCGCGGCUACAGCAUCGUCAGCCACAGUGGUGCAUUAUCCUAAAUGCGACCGAUAACCCCCAGGCACCCCAGCUGCCACACCGGUCACUUGUAUAAAAUAGCAAAGGA